CGCGUUGUGCGAAGAAGGCCUUCGGGUUGUAAAGCACUUUUCGGGAGGAAGAGGAAGGACUGUACUCCCGGAAUAAGUCUCGGCUAACUACGUGCCAGCAGCCGCGGUAAUACGUAGGAGGCUAACGUUAUCCGGAUUUACUGGGCGUAAAGCGCGUGUAGGCGGUUCGGUAAGUUGGACGUGAAAGCUCCCGGCUCAACUGGGAGAGGUCGUUCAAUACUGUCGGACUUGAGGAUGGUAGAGGGAGGUGGAAUUCCGGGUGUAGUGGUGAAAUGCGCAGAUAUCCGGAGGAACACCAGUGGCGAAAGCGGCCUCCUGGACCAUUCCUGACGCUCAGACGCGAAAGCUAGGGUAGCAAACGGGAUUAGAGACCCCGGUAGUCCUAGCUGUAAACGAUGUGAACUUGGCGUCGGUGGGAUUAAAUCCAUCGGUGUCGAAGCUAACGCGAUAAGUUCACCGCCUGAGGACUACGGCCGCAAGGUUAAAACUC
rnacentral:rRNA from 1 species